rnacentral:misc_RNA from 1 species
GGUGUAGCUCCAAAUGAAGUUGCUCAUACAACUUUGAUCAGUAUAUAUUCUAAGGAAGGAAAUUUUGUUGAAGCAAAAAGGACACUUGGUGAGAUGGAAACAAAGGGAAUGAAGCCUAAUACGGCAACGUACAAUACCCUGAUGGAUGGUUAUUGCAAGAAGGGCAUGAUGAAGGAAGCGUAUAAGCUAAAGAAUGUUAUGGAAUGUAAAGGCCUGAAACC